AGCAAUGAUUCUUUCUAGUUUUUUUCUAACCAUGAUCUUAUAGAUCCUCUGCUGAACCAAUAAGUCCUUUAUCCUUUGCUGCCACAGGAUAAAGUUUCUUUAACCAUCGAACUUCUUAAAAUCUACCUUGAAACUGCUUGACGCCAUUACCACAAUCAAACAUGAUCACACCCUAACACCCUUCUGCAAUCACGCACCAACAAACA
rnacentral:lncRNA from 1 species